AUUGAACGCUGGCGGCAGGCUUAACACAUGCAAGUCGAGCGGAGAUGAGGUGCUUGCACCUUAUCUUAGCGGCGGACGGGUGAGUAAUGCUUAGGAAUCUGCCUAUUAGUGGGGGACAACAUUCCGAAAGGAAUGCUAAUACCGCAUACGUCCUACGGGAGAAAGCAGGGGAUCUUCGGACCUUGCGCUAAUAGAUGAGCCUAAGUCGGAUUAGCUAGUUGGUGGGGUAAAGGCCUACCAAGGCGACGAUCUGUAGCGGGUCUGAGAGGAUGAGCCGCCACACUGGGACUGAGACACGGCCCAGACUCCUACGGGAGGUAGCAGUGGGGAAUAUUGGGCAAUGGGGGGAACCCUGAUCCAGCCAUGCCGCGUGUGUGAAGAAGGCCUUAUGGUUGUAAAGCACUUUAAGCGAGGAGGAGGCUACUGAGACUAAUACUCUUGGAUAGUGGACGUUACUCGCAGAAUAAGCACCGGCUAACUCUGUGCCAGCCGCCGCCGUAAAAC
rnacentral:rRNA from 1 species